rnacentral:lncRNA from 1 species
ACUUUCAUGUAGAUGACCAUGAAUACCAAUGUGUUUUUCUUUGAGUGUGCUACUGUUGAUACACAUUUUUUUCUUUAAAUAUUUUUUUUUAGGUUCCCACACAGAUGUUGGGGGCCUCCAUGAGGAGGAGUCCAAUUAUACAGGACAGGGGGACCAAGUCGAGCUCUCGGAUGAAAGUUUUGUAUAUGGAGCGGACGAAAAGGAAAGGAGGAUGGAGGAGAGGAAAACACAGGUGCUGGACAUGCUUUCCAAACUUCAGGACGACACACCACGUCAGAAAAAAAGCAGUAAAGGACGCUCCAACUUUGAGGACUUCGACUUCUUGGCAAAGUACUGCAUUUUCAGCCAGGAGAAGCUGGCUGAGUACAAAAGAGCUUUUGAAGCAGAGGACCGUGAUGGCGACGGCUACAUCUCCUGUGUUCAGGUCCUGCUCGCUCUCAAAAACAUCCUCCCU